rnacentral:pre_miRNA from 1 species
UUAGCUCAUAUUUGUAUGGAAUGGGAUCGUUUGCGUAAGUUUGCCGCUAGGGGCGCUGUUCCAACUGCAUACAAAAUUGAGUUA